rnacentral:rRNA from 1 species
UUCCCGGUGAUUUAGCCUAUCGUGUACCACUCCUUCCCAUUCCGAACAGGACCGUGAAAGCGAUAGGCACUGAUGAUACUUAGUCCAAAUCCGGAUUUGGGAAAGUAGGUUUUGCCGGGA